rnacentral:sRNA from 1 species
CCUUUCACACACACACCCACACACACUCAUAAAAGCCAUUUUGAUGAGCGACCCAGGCCCGGAGCAGGACCACGACCAGGGCUUUGUAUCGUAUGUAGCUCCUCUUGCCACCCUCAUGCCUGUGUGUGCCGCUUUUACUGCCGAUGUGACCGUUGCCUGUGCCUGAGGGUCCUUUGUUGCAUUGUAACCCCACGAAUGGCUCGCAGGCGGGCCUAAUGGAUUGGCAUUUAUUAGGGAGUGCAGAAGAAUGUUUAUCGCAGCACUUGAAAAAACAAUGGCCGGCCCCCGCUCCCAACUGCCCGAAAAGAGAUAGUUUCUGGUGGCCCAAGCUAGUGUCAGAAAUACAGAUAAAUCUGUCUCAACAGCCCCUCUCAGUCGAGAAAGUGGCUACCUUUCACGGGGGGCGUAUACUUAAUAUUCCCUAGGAAGACUUCAGGUUCCUGCCACCGCGGCAUCUUACACCACCAGCAGAAUCCAGGCAAACUGAAGGCAUGGGAAAAUCCGGAGAUGUACAAGAAGAUUACCCUGGACUUCUCAGUGCUGGCCAUCGAUCGAUGAAGCACCUUUAGGGAACAUUGAUGCUCCACAAGGACCUCCAAGGAGGUCGUUCCACCCGACCCUCGACCUUGGUGCGAUCUUUGUCAUUGCCCUUUGUCUCGCUUUCAGGCACUGACUGGCAGAAGGAGUGUAAUCAACACUCGAUACUUCAUUGCAUCAAACAUCAAACACAAAUUUGGUUUUACAAAAUCUGCAGACAGUUCAAUUUGAAGAAAUUUUUUUGUAUAUUCAAAAUUUAGAAUUUACACAUUUAUCGUUGACGAAAGCCGCGGUCCAUGUUGUCCCUGUGUUGCUGAUAUUGCAGACCGUAGCCGCCAUUGGCGGGCAAACUCAAGGAUGCCCCCGACGGUCCAAUGGGAAAUCUUGUCGUUCUUCUGGCGAUCGCGUCGGAGAAGUCGGUGCUGUGUUCGCCGAUCAGUGAGAGGCAGGGAGUACUCCUGUGGCCCUCAUCCAGAAGUUCGGCAGAACUUCCAUCGGCCUUCGCCCCGUCCUCCCAAACGGGGCAAUGCCGGUCUUGAACAUACAAUAAUCACUGCCGAUCAUGAGAUCCGAGGGCCUCCAAAAGUUUUCCACGGUCUUGAAUCUUGUCAGCUGAUGGAGUGUUUACUGCCAGGACUAGGAGCGGACUGAUACGUGUGAUUUUGAGGAAUAUUGGAAACGUUUUCCGAGAGGUAUUUCGCCUAACUGACAUCUGCUCCCCAACGUAUGCUAUACUCAACGAUAACUGUGUGAAGAGUGACUCUCAAACUGUUUCGAUUUGAUUAUAUCGAAAUAAGAGGCGUACAAAUCACACACUUCCCGUCACGAAUUCCUGGAAUGCCACGCAAUUACAUCCUCUACAAUUCCCAUGCAAAUGGUGGCGUAAUUAUAAGCCACGCAAAUGGCACUUCGACUGGGACUGGAACUGGCCCUGGGACUGGCACUGGGACUGGCACUGGCAC